GACAAGGGCUGGAGUGACAGGACAGGGGGAAUGGCUUCCCACGGACAGAGGGCAGGGUUAGAUGGGAUACUGGGAAGGAAUUCUUGGCUGUGAGGGUGGGGAGGCACAGGUUUCCCAGAGAAGCUGUGGCUGCCCCUGGAUCCCUGCAAGUGUCCAAGGCCAGGUUGGACAGGGCUUGGAGCAACCUGGGCUAGUGGAAGGUGUCCCUGCCCAUGGCAGGGGCUGGAAUGAGAUGGGCUUUAAGGUCCUUUCCAGCACAAACCAUUCCAUUAUUCUCUGAAACAAGUGAUGUCAUAGACCCAUGAAGGACAGCUGGUAUCAGAGAGCCUUACACAAGCAGUGGGUGCAUUGUGCUUUUGCAGAGCAACAGCAUUUCAAACUUGAGAUGUCUGAACAGGCUAUGAUGAUCUCAUACUACUCUCACAAGAAAGGAGUUGACACCAGAACCAGAGGAAGAGCAAACUGACUUGUGCCCAGCAGCUAUCACUGGGAGAGGAUCCCCAGCUCCAAACCAUCCCGGCCUCCAAGCAGCCACUCUAUUUCCUGUGUAGUUUUCACAGGUGGCACAGAAGUUGGGGCAAUGUAAUUGUUGCAAUAAAGGAACCACAAAAUUCA